rnacentral:lncRNA from 8 species
UCUGUCUGUCUGUCUGUACCCCCAGGGACUGACUCAACUGUGAUAGAGCUGGAGAGAGAGAGAGAGAGAGAGGGGGAGAGAGAGACAGGGAGAGAGAGAGGGAGAGAGAGAGAAAGAGUCAGACAGCGGAAAGGAGAGAGGGAGAGAGAGAGAGGGAGAGAGAGAGGGGGGGAGAGAGAGAGAGCGGGGAGUGGGAAGGAGAGAUAGAAAGAGUCAGAGAGGGGAAAGGAGAGAGAGAGGAAAGGGAGAGAGGGAGGGAAGGGUGAGAGAGGGAAUGGAGAGAGAGCGAGGGGAGAGAGGGAAACAGAGAUAGAAAGAAUCAGAGAGGGGAAAGGAGAAAGGGAGAGACAGAGAGAGAGAGGGGGAGAGAGAGAGAGGGGGAGAGAGGGAAACAGAGAUAGAAAGAAUCAGAGAGGGGAAAGGAGAGAGGGAGAGAGACAGAGGGGGAGAGAGGGAGAGAGAGAGAGGGGGAGAGAGGGAAACAGAGAUAGAAAGAAUCAGAGAGGGGAAAGGAGAGAGGGAGAGAGAGAGAGGGGGAGAGAGGGAAACAGAGAUAGAAAGAAUCAGAGAGGGGAAAGGAGAGAGAGAGGAAAUGGAGAGAGGCAGGGAAGGGUGAGAGAGAGAGAGCGGGGAGUGGGAAGGAGAGAGGGAGGGAAGGGUGAGAGAGGGAAUGGAGAGAGAGCGAGGGGAGAGAGGGAAGGAGAGAUAGAAAGAAUCAGAGAGGGGAAAGGAGAGAGGGAGAGAGAGAGAGGGGGAGAGAGGGAGAGAGAGAGAGAGAGCGGGAGUGGGGAGUGGGAAGGAGAGAAAGAGUCAGAGAGGGGAAAGGAGAGAGGGAGAGAGAGAGAGAGGGGGAGAGAGGGAGAGAGAGAGAGAGCGGGGAGUGGGAAGGAGAGAGGGAGUUGUUUAUCUGUCUUGGUAUCUCAAUCCAAUAGGACCUGACGUUGAUUUAUCCAAACUGAGUUGAAGAGGCCGACUCCUCAGGGUUUCCACAGCGACAACAACACAACAACAACAAUAACAACAACAUCACACACCAGAGAAUAAUAUUACGACCUGGGUCACA